rnacentral:tRNA from 1 species
GGGCGCGUAGCCAAACGGUAAGGCAUCGGGUUUUGAUCCCGACACCCCUGGUUCGAAUCCAGGCGCGCUCUCCA